AAACUGCCUGAUGGAGGGGGAUAACUACUGGAAACGGUAGCUAAUACCGCAUAAUGUCGCAAGACCAAAGUGGGGGACCUUCGGGCCUCAUGCCAUCAGAUGUGCCCAGAUGGGAUUAGCUAGUAGGUGGGGUAACGGCUCACCUAGGCGACGAUCCCUAGCUGGUCUGAGAGGAUGACCAGCCACACUGGAACUGAGACACGGUCCAGACUCCUACGGGAGGCAGCAGUGGGGAAUAUUGCACAAUGGGCGCAAGCCUGAUGCAGCCAUGCCGCGUGUGUGAAGAAGGCCUUCGGGUUGUAAAGCACUUUCAGCGGGGAGGAAGGCGAUAAGGUUAAUAACCUUGUCGAUUGACGUUACCCGCAGAAGAAGCACCGGCUAACUCCGUGCCAGCAGCCGCGGUAAUACGGAGGGUGCAAGCGUUAAUCGGAAUUACUGGGCGUAAAGCGCACGCAGGCGGUCUGUCAAGUCGGAUGUGAAAUCCCCGGGCUCAACCUGGGAACUGCAUUCGAAACUGGCAGGCUAGAGUCUUGUAGAGGGGGGUAGAAUUCCAGGUGUAGCGGUGAAAUGCGUAGAGAUCUGGAGGAAUACCGGUGGCGAAGGCGGCCCCCUGGACAAAGACUGACGCUCAGGUGCGAAAGCGUGGGGAGCAAACAGGAUUAGAUACCCUGGUAGUCCACGCCGUAAACGAUGUCGAUUUGGAGGUUGUGCCCUUGAGGCGUGGCUUCCGGAGCUAACGCGUUAAAUCGACCGCCUGGGGAGUACGGCCGCAAGGUUAAAACUCAAAUGAAUUGACGGGGGCCCGCACAAGCGGUGGAGCAUGUGGUUUAAUUCGAUGCAACGCGAAGAACCUUACCUGGUCUUGACAUCCACAGAACUUACCAGAGAUGGCUUGGUGCCUUCGGGAACUGUGAGACAGGUGCUGCAUGGCUGUCGUCAGCUCGUGUUGUGAAAUGUUGGGUUAAGUCCCGCAACGAGCGCAACCCUUAUCCUUUGUUGCCAGCGGUUAGGCCGGGAACUCAAAGGAGACUGCCAGUGAUAAACUGGAGGAAGGUGGGGAUGACGUCAAGUCAUCAUGGCCCUUACGACCAGGGCUACACACGUGCUACAAUGGCAUAUACAAAGAGAAGCGACCUCGCGAGAGCAAGCGGACCUCAUAAAGUAUGUCGUAGUCCGGAUUGGAGUCUGCAACUCGACUCCAUGAAGUCGGAAUCGCUAGUAAUCGUAGAUCAGAAUGCUACGGUGAAUACGUUCCCGGGCCUUGUACACACCGCCCGUCACACCAUGGGAGUGGGUUGCAAAAGAAGUAGGUAGCUUAACCUUCGGGAGGGCGCUUACCACUUUGUGAUUCAUGACUGGGGUGAA
rnacentral:rRNA from 1 species